CGCUCCGGUAACCUAGUGGUUAGGGGGUCCGCCUCAAAUGCGGGAGUUCGUGGGUUCGAUCCCCGGUUGAGUAA